AACUUAUUACUUCCACAUAUUUAGAAGGAAAAAGGGAAUCUUUUGAUUGAACAUCGAUAUUAAAUAUUAAGUCUUAAUGACACAUAAUGGAGAGGAACUAAAAAUUAAUUAUCGUGACCGGUUUAGGCAGUGGCCAAACCUUAUUUUUGUCAACCAUUAAGGGUGACAACUGCCUAGACUUUUAAUGAGUGAAAUAAUAAACGGUCUAAUUUUUUUAUACAUGUUAUAUGUGUUUUUUUCGUUGAAGAAUAACAUCCUGCAUUUAACAAAAGUGUUAUUUCAAAUGAAAUGUUUAUAUAGAUACGCAAGUUCAAAAUCUUAUUUAUGGUCGGAUUAGUACCUGAUGGUAAUAAGAUCUAAUUUAUGCCUAGUUGCAUAAUGUAAAUUAAAAGUAUUAUUAGUAUACAAUCUAAAAUAUACUUAACAAAGAGGCACAAGUUACACAUAAAUAAACAUUUGUAUUAUAGAAAUAUUGAAAAACCUUCAUCUAAGCUUCUAUUUGAUUACUAUAGAAGUCAACCGACAACUAACGUAUCCUCAGUUCCCAAGACGGCGCGACAUUCAAAUUUAGUAGUUCCAUUAAAAACAGUUACAGUGUGUUGAAAUGGUGAGAUACGGCUUAGCAUUAUUGGCAAUUAUCCAAGAUAAAGCGAUCGUCUGGGAUUGAGCAAUCAGUGACUCCGCUGUAAAUUAGAUUCUGUGCCGUAAUGAGGGCUUUACUCUGAUACUGUCUAGCCGAUUAACACAAUCUCUCACUAACUCUCCCAGUGUCAUCUCGCUCUCUACUAAAACUGUGAUGUCAAAGUUAUGUGGAAGCGAAAACCUGCGGUUUAACAUCCUUAGGAUUUCAUAGGCAAGGAUUUCACUGGAAGACGGCGAAGUAAUAAAUUUCAUAGUUGUGCAAGGAUGAAACUAUUAACGAAAAUUUUAUGGUAUAUUUUAGUUUUACUCAUAACUAUGAGUAUGUAAUUGAUUUCGUUUUAGUAUAGAAUGUAACACGUUUGCGUGAAUUUAUUUCAGUAAAUAUUAUUUACAUCCAUGUCAAAAUACCUAUUGAAUUUCACUUACAAUUUUAUAUGAAGGGAAAACACACAAAUCAAAUUAGGUCUAUAACGCAUAACAAAAACUUGUUGGUGAGAAAUUAUUAUAAUACUAUGAAAAUGCAGAUGCAUAAAGAGCAUUGCUGUUAAUAUCAACAAUAGACGAAAAUAUAUUAAAGUAUGUAAUUGGCUAAUGAUAUUCGCUAAUAUUGUUUGAUUAAUUCAAAACAGUAACCGACCCUAUCCAAGGCAUAGCUCCUGUGUAACUAACUUGAAUCUGGUUUGAUUUUUGUUGAAUGUUUCAUAAUUGCUAAAUAUGCUUGUUAUCCAUUAAUAACGAUUGUAUAUACAUACACACAUGUUCCAGGGCCAAUGUGUAUUCAUGUGAGUCCAUGCCACAUAUGCCAAUGAGCAGAUAAUUCCAAUAAUAAAGAAGUUCGGUUGGCGAUUUUUUCUUUGUCAGAAUGUUCUCGUAAACUAAAAGUUACAUUUAUAAUUGUAUAAACCAGUCUAUGUAUUAAACCUUCGUCCCCAAUAUAUAGCACCAAUAUUCCUAGUCGAGCUAUCGAAUUAUUAUGAGACCUAGCCUGAUUUGUUGUAUUUCACACAGACUUGUCAGAAGUUAAAACAAAACUGCACUCUCACUGUCCUGAUGAAGAUAUUAUAGUUUAAAUUAAAGGUUAUUAAUGUUGCGAAUUCUAUUAAAAUACAACACAUUAAUUAAACUUACCUGUACUCACCUAUCUCUAAUUUAGCAUAAUUACUUCUACAACGAAAGUUAUUUUGUUACAAAAUUAUAGGUUUUAAAUAAGAUUGAACGGCACAGGACAGAUUUUCUUCGGUUAAAGAAAGAACGUGACAAAAUAAUACGGUAGAUUUGAGGCUGGAAGAAGACAAUGGGUUCAUUCGUUAGGCCCGAGGCUGAGGGCCGGGACCGGCGUUAUCAAUUGAAGGAGAUCCCCGCGGCUCAGAUGGACAUCGCCCCUGGACAAUUGAUAGCCGGAUUUAGGAAUUGACCACAUCCAUAGCUCGACUCGCUCCGCACCAUCAGAUAUGCUCUAUUGGCAUAUUGCUUAUUGCUGGGGUCAUUUAUGAUCCUCCCCGUGCAGAUAAGGAUAUUGGCCCAUUAUUUGUUAUUAUUCUCCCUUAUCCUAUGCUGUAAAGUGGACAAUCUCGAAGAUUCGAAUUACACGCCACAAACCACGUGUCAUCAAUCACCCGCUCCCGGGUCACCCUUGCUUGCCAUGGUUUUGCAACGCUACUGGAUGUGUUUCCUUUGUCCAUGCAGACUAUUGUUAUUCACAUGUAAAUUCAGGCCAUACAGUCCUCCAAAAGGAAAUUUCUGUUUUAGUUCUCGUUUUUCAGCAAACAGAUUCUCUAUUUACAUUACAUAAAUAUUUAGGAUAGUAAUUCUCAGUAAUAAGUUGCCGUUUCAGUAAUUUUGAAAUGCAACUUGUAGUUUUGCGUAAAUACGAAGGUAUAUUUGUCGUUUACUAAUAUCCAUAAAUAACAUCAAUAUUAAUUAUCUAAGUGUUGGAUAAAUCCUUAAAUCCAGACAAAGUCAAAAUAUUUUUUUAAAUUUAUUUAGUGUACAUUGUAAAUUGGUUUACCAUCGAGUGGAAUUCCUUUACCAACCUAAGUUAUUCUCUACUGUUGCUGUCUUCUGUUAAAAUAUAUAAAAUACACCAUCUUGUAUACUGGAUUUUUCACUUGGUAACUCUGUGGUUAGAGGCCAUGUCUGCCUGUGAGUCAUCUUAAACGACCUAAACAUUCAACCAUUUAGUACAUGGAAGUAGUGCUACGGUUUUAACUUCUAAAAAAUUUAAUAUUUACGUUGGGUAAAACUUAAUGUUGUUUUACGGGGUUUUGAGGAUAGGUUAAAUGCGAAUAUCAUUUAGACUGCUGGAAGAUCUAAUAUAUUCCUGAUAUUGAAGGAAUUAGAGGUUUGAUAAUUAAAUGCGGAACUGUAUCUUAUUCAUAAAUGAAGGAAUAAAAUGAAAAUAAAAAGAGA